AACGCGAAGAACCUUACCAAGGCUUGACAUCGCCGGAAAACUCGCAGAGAUGCGGGGUCCUUUUGGGCCGGUGACAGGUGGUGCAUGGCUGUCGUCAGCUCGUGUCGUGAGAUGUUGGGUUAAGUCCCGCAACGAGCGCAACCCUCGUUCCAUGUUGCCAGCAACACCUUCGGGUGGUUGGGGACUCAUGGGAGACUGCCGGGGUCAACUCGGAGGAAGGUGGGGAUGACGUCAAGUCAUCAUGCCCCUUAUGUCUUGGGCUGCAAACAUGCUACAAUGGCCGGUACAGAGGGCUGCGAACCUGUGAGGGUAAGCGAAUCCCGGAAAGCCGGUCUCAGUUCGGAUCGGGGUCUGCAACUCGGCCCCGUGAAGCCGGAGUCGCUAGUAAUCGCGGAUCAGCAACGCCGCGGUGAAUACGUUCCCGGGCCUUGUACACACCGCGCAUA
rnacentral:rRNA from 1 species